rnacentral:rRNA from 1 species
UACAGAGGGUGCGAGCGUUGUCCGGAAUCACUGGGCGUAAAGGGCGCGUAGGCGGCCUUCUAAGUCGAACGUGAAAUCCCCGGGCUCAACCCGAGAACUGCGUCCGAUACUGGAAGGCUUGAAUCCGGGAGAGGGAUGCGGAAUUCCAGGUGUAGCGGUGAAAUGCGUAGAUAUCUGGAGGAACACCGGUGGCGAAGGCGGCAUCCUGGACCGGCAUUGACGCUGAGGCGCGAAAGCCAGGGGAGCAAACGGG